rnacentral:lncRNA from 1 species
AAAGUGAAGGAACCAGUGGAAUCUGAAAAACAGGAAGGUCAAGAAAAAGGAGAAGAACCUAAAGAUAAAACUUACGUACCACCCCCGCCAUAUAAACCGCCUAUACCAUAUCCGCAAAGACUCAAACAAACCCAGAUCAAUAACCAAUAUCAAAAUUUUAUUAAGGUUAUAGAAAAACGUCACGUAGAAAUCCCUUUCACAUAAGCCAUCACCCAAAUACCUUCUUAUGCAAAGUUUCUCAAAGACAUC